rnacentral:rRNA from 1 species
ACUCAAAGGAAUUGACGGGGGCCCGCACAAGCGGUGGAGCAUGUGGUUCAAUUCGACGCAACGCGAAGAACCUUACCGGGGUUUGAACCGUACGGGACAGCUGCAGAGAUUCAGUUUUCCUUCGGGACCCGUAUAGAGGUGCUGCAUGGCUGUCGUCAGCUCGUGUCGUGAGAUGUUGGGUUAAGUCCCGCAACGAGCGCAACCCUUGCCUCCUGUUGCUAACGAGUAAAGUCGAGCACUCUGGAGAGACUGCCGGUGAUAAACCGGAGGAAGGUGGGGAUGACGUCAAGUCCUCAUGGCCUUGAUGCCCCGGGCUACACACGUGCUACAAUGGUUGGUACAAAGGGUCGCAAAGCCGCGAGGUGGAGCUAAUCCCAGAAAACCAAUCCCAGUUCGGAUUGCAGUCUGCAACUCGACUGCAUGAAGCUGGAAUCGCUAGUAAUCGCGGAUCAGCACGCCGCGGUGAAUACGUUCCCGGGCCUUGUACACACCGCCCGU